GGACCCGCACAAGCGGUGGAGUAUGUGGUUUAAUUCGUCGCUACGCGCAAAACCUUACCGGCCCUUGACAUGUGACGUUUGAGAUUUAGAGAUAGAUCUCUUCACCUCGGGUGGCGUCAACACAGGUGCUGCAUGGCUGUCGUCAGCUCGUGUCGUGAGAUGUUGGGUUAAGUCCCGCAACGAGCGCAACCCUCAUCGUUAGUUGCAAAUUGCGAAAGCAAAGCACUCUAACGAAACUGCCGGUGAUAAGCCGGAGGAAGGUGGGGAUGACGUCAAGUCCUCAUGGCCCUUAUGGGCCGGGCUACACACGUCCUACAAUGGCGAUGACAAAGAGAAGCUAUGAUGUGAAAGUCGGAGCGAAUCUAUAAAAGUCGUCUCAGUUCGGAUUGUCUUCUGCAACUCGAAGGCAUGAAGUCGGAAUCGCUAGUAAUCGCAGAUCAGCAAGCUG
rnacentral:rRNA from 1 species